GAAACUCCAGAAGCUCAUGUGUUGGCAAAUGCAGAGCUCUCCCCUGAAUUGGUACUUGGGAAGCCUAAUUCCCUGAAUGGAUCAAAUACGUCAAUUGAAAAUGGAUCGAACAUGCUGCUGCUUCGUCGAUCGCCGAAAAUUCUUGGGAUCAGAGACAUUUUCAGUGAACUUUUUGAGAAUUUUCUACGUUUUUUUGCUUGCUUGCUUUCGAUUUUGAUGGUUGAUUGAAGAGGAGGUGGUAGUUAUU
rnacentral:misc_RNA from 1 species